CCUACGGGGGGCUGCAGUGGGGAAUAUUGGGCAAUGGGCGCAAGCCUGACCCAGCAACGCCGCGUGAAGGAAGAAGGCGUUCGGGUUGUAAACUUCUUUUCUCACGGACGAAGCAAGUGACAGUACCUGAGGAAUAAGCCACGGCUAACUACGUGCCAGCAGCCGCGGUAAUCCGUAGGUGGCAAGCGUUAUCCGGAUUUACUGGUUGUAAAGGGCGUGUAGGCGGGAAAGCAAGUCAGAUGUGAAAACCAUGGGCUCAACCUGUGGCCUGCAUUUGAAACUGUUUUUCUUGAGUACUGGAGAGGCAGACGGAAUUCCUGGUGUAGCGGUGAAAUGCGUAGAUAUUAGGAGGAACCCCAGUGGCGAAGGCGGUCUGCUGGACAGCAACUGACGCUGAGGCGCGAAAGCGUGGGGAGCAAACAGGAUUAGAUACCCCGGUAGUC
rnacentral:rRNA from 1 species